rnacentral:lncRNA from 1 species
GUGUCAGCGGCUGGCAGGAUGGCUCGGUGAAGAAGGACAGUUGCUGGCAAGAUUGAAGUGUUCAGUACCUGGAUCCCACUUGGUAGAAACUGAAAUCCAGCUCUAGCAAGUUGUCAUCUGACCUCCACAUGGCCAGUAUCACCAGCCUCUGCCUUGCCUCCAUCUGCCACCGUGGACCCCAUCUCUCAGGACCCGUGAGCUAAAACAAACCCUUGCUUCCUGAGGUGGCUUUUGGUCAGGGUGUUUUAUCAUAGCUACAGAGAAGCAACUAAUACACUCUGCUGGCUUAUAGGUUGACUUUUGAAAAAAACAACAGAAAAAGAGAGAUGAGAAAGUGAUCAACUGUGACCGUAGAUUGGAUGUACAGUUUAAUCUGUAAAAGAGCAGAUGCUAUGGAUGGAAGGAGUAUGUCUCUGGAAUGGGUAUUUUUUGGAAACUUUGAAAUUAUUCUGAAGUAAUAAUCCCUCUAGCAAACUAAUGUACAAGAAAGAAAAGUAAAAAUAGUUAAAGGAUUAAUUCUAAAUUGUAUACCAGGGCCAGAUCAAUUUCUAGUGAGUUAUUUUAAAAUUUUAAAGAGAAGCUUGUUUCUCUGCUGAAGAAAAUAAUAAAAAAAUAUCCAAGUUCAUAAAGCUGGCUCAGCCCUGAUCUUAGGCUUUCACUGUAACACAAAUUGGAAAGUUAUAAAUAAGCAUGCUAUGUAGAUAUGCAUGCAAACUUUCAGAUCUUGAGACUAAAUUAAAAACUGGGAUUUAUUUGAAUUUGAGAACAGUUUUUUUUUUGAAUGUGUGAGAUUUAUCUCCUAUCACUUACACUAU